rnacentral:tRNA from 1 species
AGUUCUAUGGUGUAAUGGUAGCACAACAGUUUUUGGUUCUGUUUGUCUUGGUUCGAAUCCAGGUAGAACUA